AACGAACGCUGGCGGCAUGCCUAACACAUGCAAGUCGAACGAGACCUUCGGGUCUAGUGGCGAACGGGUGCGUAACGCGUGGGAACCUGCCCUUAGGUUCGGAAUAACUCCCCGAAAGGGGUGCUAAUACCGGAUAAUGUCUUCGGACCAAAGAUGUAUCGCCUGUGGAUGGGACCGCGUUGGAUUAGCUUGUUGGUAGGGUAAAAGCCUACCAAGGCGACGAUCCAUAGCUGGUCUGAGAGGAUGAUCAGCCACACUGGGACUGAGACACGGCGCAGACUCCUACGGGAGGCAGCAGUGGGGAAUAUUGGACAAUGGGCGAGAGCCUGAUGCAUCAAUGCCGCGUGAGUGAUGAAGUCCUUAGGGUUGUAAAGCUCUUUUACCCGGGAUGAUAAUGACAGUACCGGGAGAAUAAGCUCCGGCUAACUCCGUG
rnacentral:rRNA from 1 species